GACGAACGCUGGCGGCGUGCUUAACACAUGCAAGUCGAACGCUGAAGCCCUUCGGGGUGGAUGAGUGGCGAACGGGUGAGUAACACGUGGGUAAUCUACCCUGCACUCUGGGAUAAGCCUUGGAAACGGGGUCUAAUACCGGAUAGGACACAUCGCCGCAUGGUGUGUGUGUGGAAAGUUCCGGCGGUGCAGGUUGAGCCCGCGGCCGAUCAGCUGGUUGGUGGGGUGAUGGCCUACCAAGGCGACGACGGGUAGCCGGCCUGAGAGGGUGACCGGCCACACUGGGACUGAGACACGGCCCAGACUCCUACGGGAGGCAGCAGUGGGGAAUCUUGCGCAAUGGGCGAAAGCCUGACGCAGCAACGCCGCGUGGGGGAUGACGGCCUUCGGGUUGUAAACCUCUUUCGACCGGGACGAAGGAUUCGUUUGACGGUACCGGUAGAAGAAGCACCGGCUAACUACGUGCCAGCCGCCGCGGUAA
rnacentral:rRNA from 1 species